GACGUAGGGCGCGAGCGUUGUCCGGAUUUAUUGGGCGUAAAGAGCUCGUAGGCGGCUUGUUGCGUCGACUGUGAAAACCUGCGGCUCAACCGUGUGGUCUGCAGUCGAUACGGGCAGGCUGGAGUUCGGUAGGGGAGACCGGAAUUCCUGGUGUAGCGGUGAAAUGCGCAGAUAUCAGGAAGAACACCAAUGGCGAAGGCAGCUCUCUGGGACGGUACUGACGCUGAGGAGCGAAAGCGUGGGGAGCGAACAGG
rnacentral:rRNA from 1 species